UACGGAGGGCGCAAGCGUUAAUCGGAAUUACUGGGCGUAAAGCGUGCGUAGGCUGUUUGAUAAGUCAGACGUGAAAUCCCUCGGCUCAACCGGGGAACUGCGUUUGAUACUGUUGGACUAGAGUCCUGGAGAGGGUGGCGGAAUUCCUGGUGUAGGAGUGAAAUCCGUAGAUAUCAGGAGGAACACCGGUGGCGAAGGCGGCCACCUGGACAGGUACUGACGCUGAGGCACGAAAGCUAGGGGAGCGAAC
rnacentral:rRNA from 1 species